rnacentral:rRNA from 1 species
GAGUUUGAUCGUGGCUCAGGAUAAACGCUGGCGGCGCACAUAAGACAUGCAAGUCGAACGAACUUAAUUUUAAUAUUUAUAUUAAAAAGCGGUUAGUGGCGGACUGGUGAGUAACGCGUAAGCAAUCUGCCUAUCAGAGGGGAAUAACAGUGAGAAAUCAUUGCUAAUACCGCAUAUGCCAUAAGAAUCACAUGAUUCUAGUGGGAAAGGAGCAAUCCACUGAUAGAUGAGCUUGCGUCUGAUUAGCUAGUUGGUGGGAUAACGGCCUACCAAGGCGACGAUCAGUAGCCGGACUGAGAGGUUGAACGGCCACAUUGGGACUGAGAUACGGCCCAGACUCCUACGGGAGGCAGCAGUCGGGAAUAUUGCGCAAUGGAGGAAACUCUGACGCAGUGACGCCGCGUAUAGGAAGAAGGUUUUCGGAUUGUAAACUAUUGUCGUUAGGGAAGAUAAAAGACAGUACCUAAGGAGGAAGCUCCGGCUAACUACGUGCCAGCCGCGCCGUAA